UAAGCAUAUUUAAAAUUACCGAUCGUAAACAAAAACAUAGGAGUAUAAAAUUAAUGGAACUCAUGGCUACGCAACUCAACUAGCAUUGGCUACUUAAACAUGGGAGUAUACCAGCUAUGGCUGCUGCUCUUUCCGUUGAAGCUCCCGUCCAACGCCGCAGCAGUUUGUCUGUCACCCCAUGUUCUUCCUUUUCAAUUUCCGUUAAAACUACACCUUUGCUUUCUAAAAACACAAAACCUUUGGGUACUACUGAUCUUUUUUGCUUAAGUUCAUCAAAACCAAUAAUAACUUGUCGCUCUUCAUCUUCUGCAUCUCCUAUUACUGUUGUUAAUGGAGAAAUGGAGAGGAUCAGUGUUGUUCCAGAUGGGAAAGAAACUCGUCUUGGUUUACCAAGUAAAGAUCGUAAUUUGAUUGGUGAAGAUCUGUAUGAGGACUCUCAACUCUCUGUUGGUGAAGUACAUAAUCAACAGUAUGCAGCUGUCACUAUUAUAAAGAAUGAAGAUCUUGAAGAGGUGAGAAAACUUGGUUCCGGAACUUUUGGUCAUGUGUAUCAUGGAAAAUGGAAGGGUGCAUUUGUCGCCAUCAAACGAUUCAAACCGAAUUACUUCGAUCGAUCAUCUGAGGAGCAGAAGAGAUUGAUUGAUGAGUUUUGGCAAGAAGUUUAUAUCCACUUUGAGCUUCGUCAUCCAAAUAUUGUGGCUUUCUAUGGUGUAAUUGUAGAUGGUCCAGGAGGUAGAAUGGCAACUCUAACCGAGUUUAUGGUGGAUGGUUCUCUCAAGCAUGUUUUGGCACACCAGGACAGGAAACUUGAUAGACGUGAGAAGCUCAUAAUAGCUACAGAUGCAGCUAUUGGAAUGGAAUAUUUACAUUCUAAAAAUAUUAUCCAUUUUGAUUUGAAGUCUGCUAAUUUGCUAGUAAACCUGAACGAUCCUUCAAGACCCAUCUGCAAGGUUGGGGAUUUUGGGCUGUCUAAAGAAAAGGGAAUUGCCAUGACUGGUGGUCCAAGGGGCACAUUAGAAUGGAUGGCUCCUGAGUUGUUGAAUGGCAGCAAUAGUAAAAUUUCUGAUAAGGUUGAUGUGUAUUCUUUCGGGAUUGUGUUGUCUGAGAUUGAAACUCGCCUAGUACCUUAUGCAUCCUUGUCUCGGCAAGAAAUUUGUGAUUGAAAGCAAUUUGGAAUAAUGGAUGUUUUGGAACUUACACUAUUAGACUUGGUCUUCCAUGAUAUUCCAAGUGAUGAGCUAGUGUUGAACUUGGAAGAUGGAAGUCUUCUGCUGGUAGGCUUGCUCUUGAAUGGCAUUAUCUUACAGUUGUACAACACUUGUCUUAAUUUUGACUUUAUACAUAGAUGGUAUUGCAAGUAAUAAGCUGAGGCCACCCAUAUCUAGCUUCUGUGACUCAGAGUACAGGAACUUAAUGGAGGAGUGUUGGGCGAUAGACCCCGUGGCUCGGCCAUCCUUUGCAGAAAUAGCUAGGCGACUGCGUGUAAUGUCUGAAGCUGCUGCCUGCUGUUCCAACUAAACCUGAUGAGUGGGAAGGAUAUAAGGAAUGAAUAGUGUCUUACUAUUAUAAUCAGUGAGAAGAUUGACUUACUCAUGGUUAAAUUGAAUUCUGCUGUUUUGUAAUACUACACUGCGGAAACACUCCUUUCUUUUCACUGCUUUAACUUUAUUAGCAUUCUACCUUGUUACCAUUUUAAGAGUGAAUUCAGCCACACGAGGAUUCUAGUUUAGGUGCCUGAAGUUGAUGAAUCCCUCUUAUUAGAGUAACUGCGAGUAGUUAAAGAGAAAAUUCCUGUUAGAGCUCUUAUAUCUGUAAAUUGUUUGUACCAAUCAUGAUAAAAGUUGGAUUAGGAUUAUCCGAACGUUUUUGGGUAAUUCACCAGAUAA